GACGAACGCUGGCGGCGUGCUUAACACAUGCAAGUCGAGCGGUAAGGCCUUUCGGGGUCCACGAGCGGCGAACGGGUGAGUAACACGUGGGUGAUCUGCCCUGCACUUCGGGAUAAGCCUGGGAAACUGGGUCUAAUACCGGAUAUGACCUCCUAUCGCAUGGUGGGUGGGGGAAAGAUUUAUCGGUGCAGGAUGGGCCCGCGGCCUAUCAGCUUGUUGGUGGGGUAAUGGCCUACCAAGGCGACGACGGGUAGCCGACCUGAGAGGGUGACCGGCCACACUGGGACUGAGACACGGCCCAGACUCCUACGGGAGGCAGCAGUGGGGAAUAUUGCACAAUGGGCGAAAGCCUGAUGCAGCGACGCCGCGUGAGGGAUGACGGCCUUCGGGUUGUAAACCUCUUUCAGCAGGGACGAAGCGCAAGUGACGGUACAUGCAGAAGAAGCACCGGCUAACUACGUG
rnacentral:rRNA from 1 species